UACGUAGGUGGCGAGCGUUGUCCGGAAUUACUGGGCGUAAAGGGAGCGUAGGCGGUUCAUUAAGUGGGAUGUGAAAUCCCCGGGCUUAACCUGGGAGUUGCAUUCCAAACUGGUGAACUAGAGUGCAGGAGAGGAAAGUGGAAUUCCAAGUGUAGCGGUGAAAUGCGUAGAGAUUUGGAGGAACACCAGUGGCGAAGGCGACUUUCUGGACUGUAACUGACGCUGAUGCUCGAGAGCGUGGGGAG
rnacentral:rRNA from 1 species